rnacentral:rRNA from 1 species
UACGUAGGGGGCAAGCGUUGUCCGGAUUUAUUGGGCGUAAAGAGCGUGUAGGCGGCUUUGCAAGUCCGUUGUGAAAACUCGAGGCUCAACCUCGAGACGCCGGUGGAAACUGCAAAGCUAGAGUCCGGAAGAGGAGAGUGGAAUUCCUGGUGUAGCGGUGAAAUGCGCAGAUAUCAGGAAGAACACCCGUGGCGAAGGCGGCUCUCUAGGACGGUACUGACGCUGAGACGCGAAAGCGUGGGGAGCGAACAGGAUUAGA